AUCACGCCAAUCUCGCUCGCUAGCCUGUUUCCUUCCGACUCUCACGAAGCGCUUCCCAGAACCUCUUCGUCUCGCUCCCUCGAUCGCUCUCCGUUUGGAGUAAUCUCGAAGGCUGUCGUAUCCCGGAUUCGAAUCCCCUGCUUCCGCUCACCCUCUAGGAUCGAAGCAACAUCCCCUUCGUUUGCUCUUGAACGCCGGUUGAUCGGGCACGACGGAGGGUUUCUAGGGUUUCGACCGCGUGGUUCGUGUCGAGCUCUGGAGGGUUUUGUUGGUGAUUUAAGGUCUGGUCUAGGAGGACGAGAGGCGGAGGAGGGAGGGGGUGAUGAGGUUGAACGGGGAAAUCUCGUACCUACGAAAUGAGGAGGAGAAUGAGAACGAUAGCGUCGCCCUGAUAUCGCUUCCGCCGCCGCCGCCGCCGACGCUGGAGAAGCUCGUCGUGGGGUAUGCUCUGACCUCCAAGAAGGUCAAGAGCUUCUUGCAGCCGAAGCUGGAAGGGUUGGCAAAGAAGAAAGGAAUUGUAUUUGUUGCCAUUGACCAGAGCCAACCACUUGUAGACCAAGGUCCUUUUGACAUUGUUCUUCACAAGUUGACUGGAAAAGAGUGGCAACAAAUUCUGCAGGAUUAUUGGGAAAAACAUCCAGAAGUUACUGUCCUUGAUCCACCUGCUGCCAUACAACAUCUGUACAAUCGCCAAUCAAUGCUCCAGGAUGUAGCUAAUUUGAAUUUGUCUGACUGCUAUGGUAAAGUUGGCACUCCUAGGCAGCUAGUUAUCACCAAAGACCCAUCAUCAAUUCCAGAUGCAGUUAGCAAGGCUAGGUUAACUCUUCCAUUAGUUGCGAAACCCUUAGUGGUUGAUGGAAGUGCAAAGUCACAUGAAUUAUCACUUGCCUAUGAUGAGUUCUCCUUAUCAAAGCUUGAUCCUCCCUUGGUUCUCCAAGAGUUUGUUAAUCAUGGCGGUGUUCUCUUUAAGGUCUAUAUUGUUGGAGAGGCAAUAAAGGUUGUUCGUCGAUUUUCCCUUCCUGAUGUUAGUAAGCGCGAACUCUUGAACAAUACUGGUGUCUUUCGGUUCCCCAGGGUUUCUUGUGCUGCAGCAUCUGCAGAUGAUGCAGACCUGGACCCUAGUAUUGCUGAACUUCCUCCAAGGCCAUUGCUUGAGAAGCUCGCUAGGGAGCUCCGUCUUCGAUUGGGUCUUCGAUUAUUCAACAUAGAUAUAAUCAGAGAGCACGGAACAAGGGACCGGUUUUAUGUCAUUGAUAUCAAUUAUUUUCCUGGUUAUAGUAAAAUGCCAGGCUAUGAACACAUAUUUACCGACUUCCUUCUGAGCGUGGUACAGAGCAAGUUCAAAAGGCUACUAAGUAGCAACUGAUCAUCUAGCUUGAGGAUGCUGCUCGACGGCACGAAGCACUUGCCGGAUACCUGAACCGGGGGGAGCCGAGUCCCAACCAGAUGCUCAAUGUAUAUAAGCUCGGAGACCCACAAUAAUCUGGAGCUUUAUUCCGAGAUGGUGGCAUUUAUUGUGCAGAUAAGUGCUACUGCUUCCCUCUUCUCUGGUUACUGAUUCAUGUGAUAAGCAAGCCUUCUGUGAAAGUCUAAUCACACCCCCACCAAAACACCCCUCCUCUUUUAUCUUUUGUGGUUCGUUCCUUGUUCAUGUUCUAAUGGAUGAUCAAUGUAAUUCCAGUUUCCGAACAGUGUGCUUUGUGGAGUGAGGAAUCAAAUCUACAACAAGACUGUGAUGUGACAGUGGCGAAAUAAAAAGAAAGAAAGAAGAAGCUUAUUCUAAUGACACAAGUUGACGUGACUGUCCGCUCUUCCAAUCGAGUAGGACUCGGUCACCUCCAUAGAUAAAGCCGAAGCAUAAAGAUCAGUCACUGUGAUCCCCCAACCCUCCAUCUGUAGACCUCAAUUUGUCCUUAUUCCUAAAUGUAUGCAAAUACUUAUGUUACGUGGGCCCGACACUUCACGUGGGUACGGCCCACCAAAUAGUUCUCCAUGAAUUAGUGGGUUCGUGUCGUGUA